rnacentral:rRNA from 1 species
UAGGGAAUCUUCGGCAAUGGACGAAAGUCUGACCGAGCAACGCCGCGUGAGUGAAGAAGGUUUUCGGAUCGUAAAACUCUGUUGUUAGAGAAGAACAAGGACGUUAGUAACUGAACGUCCCCUGACGGUAUCUAACCAGAAAGCCACGGCUAACUACGUGCCAGCAGCCGCGGUAAUACGUAGGUGGCAAGCGUUGUCCGGAUUUAUUGGGCGUAAAGCGAGCGCAGGCGGUUUCUUAAGUCUGAUGUGAAAGGCCCCGGCUCAACCGGGGAGGGUCAUUGGAAACUGGGAGACUUGAGUGCAGAAGAGGAGAGUGGAAUUCCAUGUGUAGCGGUGAAAUGCGUAGAUAUAUGGAGGAACACCAGUGGCGAAGGCGGCUCUCUGGUCUGUAACUGACGCUGAGGCACGAAAGCGUGGGGAGCAAACAGG